AGCGAACGCUGGCGGCAGGCCUAACACAUGCAAGUCGAACGAACCUUUCGGGGUUAGUGGCGGACGGGUGAGUAACACGUGGGAACGUGCCUUUAGGUUCGGAAUAACUCAGGGAAACUUGUGCUAAUACCGAAUGUGCCCUUCGGGGGAAAGAUUUAUCGCCUUUAGAGCGGCCCGCGUUUGAUUAGCUAGUUGGUUGAGGUAAUGGCUCACCAAGGCGACGAUCAGUAGCUGGUCUGGUAGGAUGAUCAGCCACAUUGGGACUGGGACACGGCCCAAACUCCUACGGGAGGCAGCAGUGGGGAAUCUUGCGCAAUGGGCGAAAGCCUGACGCAGCCAUGCCGCGUGAAUGAUGAAGGUCUUAGGAUUGUAAUAUUCUUUCACCGGGGACGAUAAUGACGGUACCCGGAGAAGAAGCCCCGGCUAACUUCGUG
rnacentral:rRNA from 1 species